rnacentral:lncRNA from 1 species
CCCACUACCAAGUGCUCUUCUGCCUGUCCUGGAGUCGUACACUCAUAGUGCCUGCUGUCAUAUGGUCAUAGCUAUUCUGGCAAGCAUACAGCACUGAUGUCUCAUCUUCUAAGAAUACUUUAAUGGGGUCUUCUGUCAUGUCAUAGGGCAGGUUCCCUAGGAGCACAGUAUAGGGUGAGGAUUUGGGCAUACAACUCCAGUUGGUAUUUAGUUCCUCAGCAGCCUAUGGAGCAGUGGGAGGGUGGAACAGGCUAUCAGAGAUGCCCUAUGCACAUGGCAUCAUUACUGUGCCAGAUCAUCUAUUAAAUCAGCCUAGCUGACAGGUUUGGAGACCAGUGCUCCCUCCCCCCAUUUUCAACCAUAAACCUCUUUGGGAUGUGGUUUCCCCUUCUUAAUCUUCUUUUCUGCUAAGGCUGCCAUGUCAGGAGAGGAAGAGAGUGCCCUCUCAAAGGCCCCACUCCCUACUCAUUUUCAUUUGGGGGCUUAACUGGUUUGGAAAGAUUGAGUUAAAAUUCAGCUUUUUGCCGGACACCUAGCCCUCUCUUGAAGGUCCUAAAUCAGAUUAGCAAAUGCAAGUGCUUGUUUGGAGAUUUUGUUUUGUUUUCUUGUCUUUUGACUUUACAGUGUGCAUUUUCCCGGGGCAUAUUUUCUUCUUUUGAGAAGUAGACUAAACAGUCUCUGCAAUAAUGAGGUACACAGGCAGGAGAAAACAUUUCUGGGAGGGAUGGCUUUCUAUUUUUUUUCCCUCUCCUGAUUAAGCUUUCUCCUAGCCAAAUGACUAAAUUGGGUUUCUAGGCAAGGCAGCUGUCAUGGUGUGUGAUGUAUACUAUUUAUGCAGGGCCCACAGGGGAGCUGUGUCAUUUGUCCUGUCUUUAAAUUGAGGUCAGAGUGUCUCACACACAACCCCUCCCUGGGGAAUAGAAUGGACCGGACUCGGUUGCAUACACUGUCAGCUCGGUGGAAAUGUCAUAUGGAACAUGUCACUCCUGUCAAAUAGUGUGUGACCCUUGCGCUGGCAGGUCACAUUCGGUCAGCACUUCCAGGGCUACCUCUGGAUUGAGCUAAACUGGGUUUAGGGCUAAGUCAGUUCUCAGAAGGCUCUUAUGUCUGGCUAGAUCCCAUUCUUGAAACUGUAAACAAUCCAGCCAGUAUCCUCUCAACUUAGUUCUGGAUUCUGCUAUGCUCCCCAUACCUACGGGGAAGGCAGCAGUGUGGACAGCAAACACUAUCCUGCUAUCCGUGGAGACAAUAGCCUCCCCACGUCUACCAGGCAGCCUGGAUUAGCACACCUAGCAGGGUGGGGUCCUCUGUGUGAUGCUCGUGGAAGCAGAGCUGAUGUGUCUGCUCUGGCUCGGUGCAGAAUAGUCCAGAUUUCUAGAUCAGUAUUAUUUUUCCCAUCUCCCAACACUCAGGCAAACACAAAGAGUGAAGUAGAUAACUGUGCUCUGGUGAAGGGAACGAGGCUUCUUCAACAUUUAUAAAGAAAUGCACCAAUGACCCUGGGCUCCAGCAGAGCCCAGCUGAGCAUUUUCUUUUCUUUGAUAAGCCUUCAGGUGUGCACAGCGAAAAUCAAUGAUGACUAAGCAAGAAGCAAUGGAUGAUUUUGUUGUUGUCUUGAGACACGUUCUUAUGUAGUCCAGACUGGCUUCGAACUCACUGUGUGAUGAAGCUGCCCGUGAACACCUGAUGCUCUUUACCUCCUGAAAAAUGUUUUAUUGUGUGCUUGUUUAGCUGGGACUCAGGGCCCUGUGAAUGCGAGGCCAGUGUCUUCCAUUGAGCUACUUAUGUUCCCAGUCAGUGAGUGGUUUCUGGUUUGUUUUGGUUUUUAAGCGAAAUUAGGUAUCAUGAGUCUGAACAUGUAAAUGUCUAUGUAGGCUUUCAGAUCAAAAAAAAAUUUUUUUUAAAUAAAGCCACCCGUUAGCUCUCACUUGUUAUAACAAUGAGCUUUCCUUUUGAGUCAUAAGGAAGAUUCUUUUUAUCAGCCAGUCUUGUCCCGAGAGUAUGAUGCCUUAAGCCGUAAGUCGAGGGUCUGGGACCGUCAGAUGAGGCGGUCUUUGUCUGGAACAGGUGAAAGGGCCGCACAGUUCAGCCAGGGUUUGAAUUACUGCCCAGGGUCAUUGUCCCAAAGUAAUUCAUGGAGUGAUUUCAGCUUUUGAAAUGUCGCCUUCAUCUCCUGGGGUCUUUAAAACCUGAACAGGGAAACUGGCCAAACAGGCCUAAAGUGAUAACUUAGCAAAGAAAUAGGUUUAUCAGAUCGACCCAAAAGGUCUGGUGUGAUGGUGCACACCUGUGAUCCCAGCCCCCAGGAGGCUGAGUAGGCAGGAUUAGAGAUCAGCCUGGGCUACACAGUGAGUUCUAGGCCAGCCUGGGCUACAUAGGAAGACUCUGUCUCAAAGAACAAACAGAACAGAUGUGGCCACCCUGUCAUUCUCUCUGCAUGCACAUGCUUAAAUUAACAAAUGUAACAACAAUGGGAAAGUCAAAUAUAAUUUUUAUAAUUUUAAAAUAAAGACCCCUCAAAAUAAGAA